UACAGAGGGUGCGAGCGUUAAUCGGAGUUACUGGGCGUAAAGGGCGCGUAGGUGGUUUAUUAAGUGAGAUGUGAAAUCCCUGGGCUUAACCUAGGAACUGCAUCUUAUACUGUUAGACUAGAGUACUGUAGAGGGUAGUGGAAUUUCCGGUGUAGCGGUGAAAUGCGUAGAGAUCGGAAGGAACACCAGUGGCGAAGGCGGCUACCUGGACAGAUACUGACACUGAGGCGCGAAAGCGUGGGGAGCAAACAGG
rnacentral:rRNA from 1 species